AACACUUCAAAUCCACUGGAUAUUAACAGUCUUCAAUAUAUUGAUGAGUUUUAUAUAGUACACUGGAAUAUAAAACUGAAUAGAAACUCAUUGUAUUACCUAACAGUAUCAGCAAUUGGUACAUAUGAAACUAGCACUUCUGAUGUAACAGAAAUAAUAGGCAAAUAUAAUGUAAAGGAUAUAAUGAUAGAGAAGAGUGAGGGUAUUGUCUGUUUUGUAUGUGUUACUGAAAUGUUUAAUGAAUGUCAAGUAAUGAUAGCGUCAGUAACAACAACACUGAUACCACAAUCAACACAAACUAAUGGAACAUGUUACUCAUUUACUGAUAAUGGAACAUACACUGUAUAUGCACAUGAUUUAGAGAAUGGACUAAUAAUACUGACACCAGCAGUAGUUAUACAAUAUACAGUGGACUGGAUUGAACCAUCAGACACAGUUCAUUUAAGUAUUGAAAGUUGGGCCACAAGCUGCAACAGAAUGUUAUUCUCAUCAAAUGAUAGUACUAAUUCUGUGUUUCCAAGCAUUACUAAUACCACUA